GUGAAAGGCAGAGCAACCAGGCGGAGAGUGUCCUGGACUUCCUGCAGGUGCUCAGCGGUAUCUGACGGAUGCAGUGACUCAGCUCCCAGCACAGAAGCAUGGCGCACCGUGGAGCUGGGUGGAGCUGGGUGGAGCAGCUCAGUUGUGGCCAGACGAGGGCUUCCGGACACCAGGCCGCAGCAGUGUGGCCUCCACCUUGGGUGGCCUGCAGGCAGGAGCGGGACAGACUCUCCGUUCUACCCUCCUUGGUGAGCGUGGAGCUCCAGUCCCCGCCGAGACCUGAGCAGCGGUCCUCUGCUGGGCCGGUCCCCCUGAUGUGCUGCCCACCUUGGGCCCAGAGCACUGGAGUCGGCCUUCUAUGGAUGGAGGCCUCUGAGACCCUGAGCCCCCAAUAAACUUUCCCU